CGCGGCCUAUCAGCUUGUUGGCGGGGUAAUGGCCCACCAAGGCGACGACGGGUAGCUGGUCUGAGAGGAUGGCCAGCCACAUUGGGACUGAGAGACGGCCCAGACUCCUACGGGAGGCAGCAGUGGGGAAUCUUGCGCAAUGGCCGAAAGGCUGACGCAGCGACGCCGCGUGUGGGAUGACGCCUUUCGGGGUGUAAACCACUGUUGCCCGGGACGAACAGCUUCUUUCGUGGAGCCUGACGGUACCGGGUGAGGAAGCACCGGCUAACUCCGUGCCAGCAGCCGCGGUAAUACGGAGGGUGCGAGCGUUGUCCGGAAUCAUUGGGCGUAAAGGGCGCGUAGGUGGCAGGCCAAGCGUGCGGUGAAAGCUCGGGGCUCAACCCCGGGUCGGCCGUGCGAACUGGCGUGCUGGAGCACUGUAGAGGCAGGCGGAAUUCCGGGUGUAGCGGUGGAAUGCGUAGAGAUCCGGAAGAACACCGGUGGCGAAGGCGGCCUGCUGGGCAGUUGCUGACACUGAGGCGCGACAGCGUGGGGAGCAAACAGGAUUAGAUACCCUGGUAGUCCACGCCGUAAACGAUGGGCACUAGGCGCUUGGGGGAGCGACCCCCCGAGGGCCGGCGCUAACGCAUUAAGUGCCCCGCC
rnacentral:rRNA from 1 species